rnacentral:rRNA from 1 species
GGAAUCUUAGACAAUGGGGGCAACCCUGAUCUAGCCAUGCCGCGUGAACGAUGAAGGCCUUAGGGUUGUAAAGUUCUUUCGCUGGGGAAGAUAAUGACGGUACCCAGUAAAGAAGCCCCGGCUAACUCCGUGCCAGCAGCCGCGGUAAUACGGAGGGGGCUAGCGUUGUUCGGAAUUACUGGGCGUAAAGCGCGCGUAGGCGGGCUGUUAAGUCAGAGGUGAAAUCCCGGGGCUCAACCCCGGAACUGCCUUUGAUACUGGCAGCCUUGAGUUCGAGAGAGGUGAGUGGAAUUCCGAGUGUAGAGGUGAAAUUCGUAGAUAUUCGGAGGAACACCAGUGGCGAAGGCGGCUCACUGGCUCGAUACUGACGCUGAGGUGCGAAAGCGUGGGGAGCAAAC